AACGAACGCUGGCGGCAGGCUACACUGCAAGUUGAAGCGCGCCUUCGGGCGAGCGGCGGACGGGUUAGUAACGCGUGGGAACGUGCCCAGAUCUACGGAAUAGCCACUGGAAACGGUGAGUAAUACCGUAUACGCCCUUCGGGGGAAAGAUUUAUCGGAUUUGGAUCGGCCCGCGUUAGAUUAGGUAGUUGGUGGGGUAACGGCCUACCAAGCCUACGAUCUAUAGCUGGUUUUAGAGGAUGAUCAGCAACACUGGGACUGAGACACGGCCCAGACUCCUACGGGAGGCAGCAGUGGGGAAUCUUGGACAAUGGGGGCAACCCUGAUCCAGCCAUGCCGCGUGAGUGAAGAAGGCCCUAGGGUCGUAAAACUCUUUCGCCUGUGAUGAUAAUGACAGUACGCAGGUAAAGAAACCCCGGCUAACUCCGUGCCAGCAGCCGCGGUAAUACGGAGGGGGUUAGCGUUGUUCGGAAUUACUGGGCGUAAAGCGCACGUAUGGCGGAUUAGAAAGUUAGAGGUGAAAUCCCGGGGCUCAACCCCGGAACUGCCUUUAAAAACUACUAGUCUAGAGUUCGAGAGAGGUGAGUGGAAUUCCGAGUGUAGAGGUGAAAUUCGUAGAUAUUCGGAGGAACACCAGUGGCGAAGCGGCUCACUGGCUCGAUACUGACGC
rnacentral:rRNA from 1 species